rnacentral:rRNA from 1 species
CCAUGGGCUCAACCCAUGAACUGCUUUCAAAACUGUUUUUCUUGAGUAGUGCAGAGGUAGGCGGAAUUCCCGGUGUAGCGGUGGAAUGCGUAGAUAUCGGGAGGAACACCAGUGGCGAAGGCGGCCUACUGGGCACCAACUGACGCUGAGGCUCGAAAGUGUGGGUAGCAAACAGGAUUAGAUACCCUGGUAGUCCACACUGUAAACGAUGAUUACUAGGUGUUGGAGGAUUGACCCCUUCAGUGCCGCAGUUAACACAAUAAGUAAUCCACCUGGGGAGUACGACCGCAAGGUUGAAACUCAAAGGAAUUGACGGGGGCCCGCACAAGCAGUGGAGUAUGUGGUUUAAUUCGACGCAACGCGAAGAACCUUACCAAGUCUUGACAUCCUGCGACGCACAUAGAAAUAUGUGUUUCCUUCGGGACGCAGAGACAGGUGGUGCAUGGUUGUCGUCAGCUCGUGUCGUGAGAUGUUGGGUUAAGUCCCGCAACGAGCGCAACCCUUAUGGUCAGUUACUACGCAAGAGGACUCUGGCCAGACUGCCGUUGACAAAACGGAGGAAGGUGGGGAUGACGUCAAAUCAUCAUGCCCUUUAUGACUUGGGCUACACACGUACUACAAUGGCGUUAAACAAAGAGAAGCAAGACCGCGAGGUGGAGCAAAACUCAGAAACAACGUCCCAGUUCGGACUGCAGGCUGCAACUCGCCUGCACGAAGUCGGAAUUGCUAGUAAUCGCAGAUCAGCAUGCUGCGGUGAAUACGUUCCCGGGCCUUGUACACACCGCCCGUCACACCAUGAGAGCCGGGGGGACCCGAAGUCGGUAGUCUAACCGCAAGGAGGACGCCGCCGAAGGUAAAACUGGUGAUUGGGGUGAAGUCGUAACAAGGUAGCCGUAGGAGAACCUGCGGCUGGAUCACCUCCUUUCUAAGGA